rnacentral:lncRNA from 1 species
UGCAGUACACAAAAUAUGAAUAUGCAGAACACAGAGGACUCGGAUUUUCAUCACAGACUUGCAAAAUCGAUUAAAUGAUGUAAAAUCCUUACAGCAUAUAUCAGAAUGCCUGCUUAACUGCCUUUACAUGUGUAUCACUACUUUAACGAACGAAAAUCGCGGCGGGCUAUCUGGUACUUUGACCCAAGCAAUCAGUUGACACAUCUGAUUAGCUCACAUUUCACAGGAUUUUGACUACAAGAGAGGAGGGGGUCCAUUUGCUCACAUUCAGGGAAGUAAAAACAAGAAAUGCUUUUGGAUGAUACCCUGCCAACCGGACAGCAAUUUCAUGAUAGCAUAACAUGGACAUCUCUAGUCCUGAACAGCCUAGGAGAGAGAUGUAAGUAAAGCAUUAAGGCGUGUGUACUAAGCUAUUAAUUUACAUCUACCAUCAUGCUACAAAAACCUUCCUUUGAGAGCAAAAUUGCAUCUAGACUUGUCCAGCAGUUAUACUUGCGAAGAAACCAUCCUUCCCAGUCCUGUGCUAAGAAGUUCAACCUUCAUUAGACUACGUUAAAGUUGAAAGUUGAAACACUUUGGCUUGCAUAUCAUUUAAUAUAUCCCUAUCUUUCCAGACCAAAAGAAGCAGCUGGCAGAAGAUCAUUUAACAGCAAAGAGCGUUUACACAAAAGACAUGAAUGUGCAGGCAAAGCAAAUCAUUAAACAAGCCUCCAGUGUCUGAUCACAGAACCAUCAUAUCCUUACUGAUGGAUCUACAAGACAAACUUCAUGAAUACAAAAGCAGCCCCUCACAAGCAAAGAAACUCUACCUUAAGCAAAACAAUAAAAAAUUAAGGGCGUAAUGAUCAGAUGUAUUACUUCUCAGCACAAAAUGCCUCAUCGGCUGGUUAAAACCAACUUCCUAAGCACAACUUCCGCAUGCUCUCCCUCCAAACACAAGAUUUCUAAUGGAAAACCAUAAAUUCAAUCUAACAACGUAGAGAUUCACUCCACUUAAUGAUUGCUCGUGUCAAGAAAGAUGGCCAAUUUGCUCAUACAACCACUAUACGAGGAGCAGAAAUGAAUUACCAAGAAACGGUCACUGCAAGCUUCAUUUUUUUUCACUGAUAUGAAGCUAAGAGACCCCCAACAGAAGGUAUAACCCGAUCACAGUUUGCCAAUCUAUCACACAUCAGCGAAGGCGAUAUACAGCAGUCUUAAAGAACUGAACAUGUACUCGUUUAUCGCCUCUUUUCAAAGCUCAUAUUUCCAUACCGAACCCCUUGACAAGCUCCGACGAGCAUCAUUACAAGGAAAGUGGAAUCGCGGCUACUGAAGUCAAAGACAAUCAGCAAAACAGCAAAUGAAAUCAAGUACUACUAAAGUCUAAAGAUACACGCGAUUUUCCAUGGAAUGGCACGACUAAACAAUGCCACAGUUCAUACCAGUGCGUCAAAUGAAAAAUGAAUACCAAUUGGACAGAAAAGAACCGUCUUUUCCGAGAAGAUAAACUUUCCCACUUCACCCAGUGAAAAAUUGCAGCCGAAGCUGUCAUUAAGAUUCGCGGAUAAUCGUUCAGCCAUAAAACGCGAGACUUCUUUCGUCGUCUCACAAUCGUCUCAUCCAACUCACGACGAAACCUCCAGAACUCCACAUGAAUCAAGCAAUCAAGAUUCGAAUUCCUGCGUGAUAAAAGCUCGACUUCGGGAGAUUCAACGGCAAGAACCGACCUUUCUUGCUACAGGACUCUACUCGUCGCGAAGAGCAGCAGGAUCUUGCGGAGAAGAGGGAGAAGCAUCGGCGUCGGCGGCGGCGGCGGCGGCGGCGACCUGGGCUUUCUCGAGGAAUGGCUUGAAACCCAGUUGCAGAGUGAGGUAUCCGAAUGCCAACGCCCCGAUCACGACUAGCCCCGACCUCAUCGCGUUCAUCUUCGUCCUGUCCCACAUCUCUCUCUCUCUCUCUCUCUAUCUCUCUCUCCCACCCUCCCCCUCGCUCUCUCUCUCUCUCUCUCGCAAGUUGCAGAGGAAUCGGGCAACGAGGACUAACACGCGGUGUGACUCGGGGUCGCUGUGACGUCGUUCCCUGCCUAAG